rnacentral:rRNA from 1 species
CAGUCGCGUUGGCUAGAAAUCAACAUUGCUCUUGCUUUGUGUAUUUUCUGGUUGACGGGUCAGCAUCAAUUUUGACCAUUGGAUAAAGGCAUUGGGAAUGUGGCUGGAGGAAUGUAGCUUCGAUCCUGUAUUGAAGUGUUAUAGCCUUCGGUAGAUGUGACGAUCGGGAUUGAGGAUUGCAACGGAUGCCCUUCGGGGCUACCUGUCUGAUCUCUGAUUGUUGCUCUGGUGCCGAAAGCUUGCUUACGGUUAUCAAAGUCGAUGGUCAAUAGGUUAGAAUGGGUAAAUUCGUUAAGGAUGUUAGACGUAAUGGACUUUAAACGACCCGUU